rnacentral:rRNA from 1 species
UACGUAGGGAGCAAGCGUUGUUCGGAUUUACUGGGCGUAAAGGGCGCGUAGGCGGCAUGACAAGUCACUUGUGAAAUCUCUGAGCUUAACUCAGAACGGCCAAGUGAAACUGUCAAGCUAGAGUGCAGAAGGGGCAAUCGGAAUUCUUGGUGUAGCGGUGAAAUGCGUAGAUAUCAAGAGGAACACCUGAGGUGAAGACGGGUUGCUGGGCUGACACUGACGCUGAGGCGCGAAAGCCAGGGGAGCAAACGGGAUUAGAAACCCUCGUAGUCC